UGAAAUGCAAGGACGCUCUUUUUAGAGGUCCGACCAAUUCAUUUCCUUUCACCCUGUGCACAAACUAUUUUUUACACUUUUUUAAACACUAUAAGAAUAAGAAUGUCAAUAUCUCUUAAUUGAGUAUAAACUAUUA
rnacentral:misc_RNA from 1 species